AGGGUUCGAUCCUGGCUUAGGAUGAACGCUAGCUACAGGCUUAACACAUGCAAGUCGAGGGGUAGCAGGGUAGCAAUACCGCUGACGACCGGCGCACGGGUGAGUAACACGUAUCCAACCUUCCCAUAACUCAGGGAUAGCCUUUCGAAAGAAAGAUUAAUACCUGAUAGUACUUUUUCAAGGCAUCUUGAGAAAGUUAAAGAUUUAUUGGUUAUGGAUGGGGAUGCGUUCCAUUAGAUAGUUGGUGAGGUAACGGCUCACCAAGUCUUCGAUGGAUAGGGGUUCUGAGAGGAAGGUCCCCCACAUUGGUACUGAGACACGGACCAAACUCCUACGGGAGGCAGCAGUGAGGAAUAUUGGUCAAUGGGCGAGAGCCUGAACCAGCCAAGUAGCGUGAAGGAUGAAGGUCCUAUGGAUUGUAAACUUCUUUUAUAGUAGAAUAAAGUGAUCCACGUGUGGAUUUUUGUAUGUAUACUAUGAAUAAGGAUCGGCUAACUCCGUGCCAGCCGCAGC
rnacentral:rRNA from 1 species